UUCGAGAAAACAAACACACAAUAAAGAGAAAUCUCACUCUUUCAGUAUCCAAUGGGAGAAAGCCAAGGUUUCUAAUGGGGACUACUUCAGGAGAAUAUAUCUUAGAAGUAAAGAAAAAAAAUGGAAGCUUCUUAAACAAAAAUCCCCAAGCCUUAAAUUACAUCAGAGAUAACAAAAGGUUGAUGCCCCCGAAGUUUGAUUUGCAGAAGUGUUGAGUAUUCAGAGCUGCAACUGAAGUCAAGGGGAGCUGGGCUUUGACCACAUUCCAUCAGUCAAACAACAAGAAAAAACACCUCACUUGGGCCAUUCAGCACAAGACAACAAACAACGACAAUUGUACAAGUCUGGACCUAGAUGAUGGUCCACAUGCUGAGUUAUUGCUCCAGGAGAAGAUUAGAACUUCUAUGAAAAACACCACUGAACUGCAAAGUUAAGACAGGGAGAAUACAAAUGGUGGGAGAAGACUGUUCAGAUCUGGAUAAGGUUACCAUUCAAGGUUUGGGCUCCA